GGAACAGUGGCUGAGUGGUUUAAAGCGCAUGCCUGGAAAGUAUGUUGGACGCAAGUCCUCGCAGGUUCAAAUCCUGUCUGUUCCGCCA
rnacentral:tRNA from 1 species